rnacentral:lncRNA from 1 species
UUUAUCAAAAGCAUUUUCGUAGAAAUGUAUUUCAUUAAAAAGACUCGGGAUGUGAUGUUCGAAACAGAUCAUAAGCAUAAACAAUACAAUAUAGGCCUUACUACAUUAUUCCGUAUUUACAAGCCUAAAAUCCAUUAAUCUCUCAUCCCAAGACAUCACAUCUAUGCUCAUGCGCCACUACCUGUAAUAGAAGAAACUGAGUGGGUCAGGCUUGAGAGCCUGGUGAGCACAUAGGGUUUUCAACCCACAAUAAAUAAGUUUAUUAACUUUAUCAAACCAAACAAACCCGAUUACCCGUUCCCGUUAUCCUCACUUUACGUCCCUAAAACAUCUAACACAAGGGACCUAGUCUAAGGACUAUCAUCGGGAUGGACACUACUGCUAAGGGGAUUCCUCAGCAAUAAAUGUCCUUAAGGCAACCAUGUGGGGGAUGGAGUACAUCUGGUGAGCACACAGUUCAAAUAAACACACAGUUCAAAUAAACACCUACAGGUUGCGAGCGUGCUAGUGUUCCACUGGACUGUCUAGAAUAGUCUGUGGUCGUCAUCUAUACUCCGCUAGAUGACUAGAUCAUCAAUAACAUCUAUAACGAGGCCUCUCAUUAUUUCAUUUUAUCACACAGCAACUAUUACAUCUACCCAUGUUUUACCCCAACAUUUUUCGUAGAUAUAAAAUACAUAUACAGUUUAAAUCAUUGAAAACAUGCAUAAAAAUGUUCAUUCAGCAUAGAUAGCAAGUAUACAGGUAAUAUGCACACAUAGCACGUCAUUUAUAUAAAAUACUUCAUAUCUAUGUGUAAGCUGAAAGUAACUAUGCACUCACUUGAAAGGUGGCGACUCAGCACGCGGACAACGCUUCGAUACUCUCAAAACAAUUUUCUUUCGAUAAAACCUAGUACCAAUACCACUAGGGUUUAGUCUAACGAUAACCGUGGCAAAUUGAUUAGUCUGACUAUUAUUAUUAUUAUUAUAUAAGCGUUAAUAACACUCAAUAUAACUCAUAAUAAUAGCCCAAAUAAUUAUUUUAAGGACCUAAUAACAUUCCUAUAAUUAUUUGAAAGCUAUAUUAAAAAUUGCGUAAGCGUAGCUCACUUACAGCAGAUUUUAACGAAAACCGAAACUUUAUUUGGAGCAGCGUUUUGAAACCGAAAGGCUCUUUUUCUUGGGAUUCCGGGAGCCUUGGGGCUUCCUUAGGGUGUUAGGGGCCUUAUCUAGGGUUUAGGAGGGUUUAGGGCACUUAGAGAGAGAAAGAAGCUAGAGAGAGAGUGGAAUUUGGAGUGAAAAAUGAAGCUGCCUCGGCCCCCCUUUUAUAGCCUGCGAGGCCUCGGUACGCUGGGCGUACCUCGGACCUACGCUGGGCGUAGUGGCUCGGGCGUACUACACGUGUCGCUUCGCUGCUGGGUCAUCGUGGCACUUCUCCGAACCGCUCAAUCCGAAGUCCGCUGGGCGUAGCCUUCUUUCGACGCGGGGCGUUCCUCUCGUACGUGAGGCGUAGCGAGGCCAGGUGUCCGAAUCUGAAGACCAGACCGUGAUCCGCAAGCUACGGCCCUGAUCGAGCCAUGUCAUCACCCAUUGCACCAGCUUCACAAAUUCGAGGUACAACUUCAAAAAUUCGUAACUUUCGCGCACGACCUCCGUUAUCGACGUUCUUUAUAUCCACGAGAAGGUGGGAACGUACUCUACAACUUUCAUUUAGACUCCAUCGGCUAAUUUUGACUCAAUUUUAAAUUUUAUAUUAUUAAUAGGCCGGGACAGGAUUGGUCCGUUAAAUUCUCAUAACUUCUUCAUCCGAUAUCCGUUUUCGCCCAUCUUUUUCUCGUUACGCUACUCUUAACGAGAUCUUCGAUUCUUGUUUAGGUCGUGUCGGCUAAAAAUCACUCGAUCUAAUAUUCGAAUUUCGGGCUGUACACUGCUAAUCCGAAACUUCGAAAAAUCAUAACUUCUUCAUACGAAGUCAGAUUUGGGCGUUCUUUUUAUCGAUGUUCUUAGUUUAACAUAUUCUACGACUUUCGUUUAGAUCGCUAAGGCUAAAUCUCGCUCUAUCGUAAAUUCACUAUUUACGCUUCCCGGUGCCGUGCCAGUUCCGUCGCGAAACUUCAACGGGUCAUAACUUCUUCGUUAUAACUCGGNCUUUGUUAUAACUCGGAUUUCGGCGUUAUUUAUAUGUACGAAAACCUCGUGAAAUAUUAUACAACUUGGUUAAGACUAUUUAUUAUAAAUAAUCUUUUGUCAAAAAGUCGUUUUCGACCCCUAUUGCCUCUAAAUUGACGAGCCCGGAUCUACAGGCGUUACAAUUAUCUCCCCCUUAGGAUGAUUACGUCCCAGAAUCAUCAACGAAACAGGGUCGUAUAAUGACUCCAUACGUCAUCUCUUCAUCCUAGGUAAUAAUUAUAACUUCUACAUUCCUUCAAGUCUAUCUCUUAGACUCAUUGACUGUAAGCAGUACUCGAUCGUGCACCUGCUCUCUACCUCAGGCUAGACUCCAAAUUAUGACGUUCAAGUCACAAUCUCGAUCCUCACUGGAUACGAACUUAAGAUAAGUUCUUUUAUUACUACUAUGGAUCGAUGUGUCAUAUUCUAAUGACCUAUCAUCGUAUGUUGCAAUGCUUAGACUCAGGUCUCUUAGAGUCAAAUUCCAAAACAGAGUAUACCUUCCUUCAUGUUCUAAUGUGAUACAAUCACAUUUCAAUAUGUAGCAUUUAUAGCUACCAACUUCUUUAACAAUCAUCACGAUACUUCUACUGAUCGCCUUGGUUAGCUUUCAUUUCAAUUUUUUUUGGUUUAAGUCAGAUGCUACAUCGAACUUGGUUCUCUGAACCACGUAUCAUACUCAUCGUAGUUAGACUCAAUUUUAUAUGACCACUAGGGUCGGAAUAACAACAAUCUUCUUAGUCAUUACCGAAACGGUGGUAACGACAUGCUUGAAUAAAACAGAAUCAAUUAUUGGCUUCUUGGUAACGUUGUGACUUUCCCUGAUCCAAGUGUGAGUCCUGUGCUUCCGGUAGUAUAGGCCUCUACUACCAUUCACACCUACUCAUACCCGUCCCAAGUAUUCUCUCGCAGUUUUCCAAGUCAUUUAUCACAAAAAAAACAAUUUAACACACCAGAUAAAAAAAACGAAGAUUUUAUUAUUUCUUGAAACUAUUACAUAGGUGUUCAAGUUCAUCCUAGACUAUGCCUCUAAUAGGCUACAUCAUACGAUUCUAUGGCUACUUCGUAACUCGACCUUCGGAUGUCAAGCCUUCACUCCUGAAUCCUUGCAUUGUCAUCUGCUUCGUCAAGGAUCAUUUGAAAUGCUCUCGCCUUUGGCUUUGGCGGCACAUUUGGCUUUGUAGCCCCCUCUUUCUUUGGGAAGUCUUGCUUGAAGUGCCCUUCCUCAUUACAUUCGUAACACACCCUUUUGUUGAAUUUACACUCGUUGGCAUAAUGCACAUGAUUCCCACACUUGAAACAAGUUACCUCCUCACUACAUUUUCCAGAGUGUUUCUUUUUGCACUUCUCGCACCAUCUUUCUUCACUCCCUCCUCCUCUAAACUUCCUUGUAUUGGACUUGCUUCUCUCAUCGGGCUUCGCAAACCCCUCAAACUUCCUCUUUUCGCCAACCUCGGUCUUGUUGGCGGCUCUUCCCUUGAUCAUCUCCUCAACCGACUUGGCAGCCCAGAUAGCUGCCUCCAAAGUAGGUGCCUGACGCACUGGCACUGCAUAUUCCCAUGGAAGUCCUUUUGNCGAUUUUUGUCAGCUCUUCCGGGACAAGACGCAAGGCAAACUCCAUCUUUUCUGUGAAGUUGUUCGUGUAUUCAUCGAUUGACAUGGUUCCCUUCUUCAGGGUUAGAAACUGGUUCUCUAACUCGAGCAUGUUUUGAGCUGAGCAGUACUUCCGUUUGAAUUGCACCAAAAAUUCUGCCCAUGUCAGUUGCAGGGGCUUGUUGGGGCUUAAAGUGUUCCCCAAGGUAUUCCACCAACACAUACAGCGCCUCCUCGAAACUGACGCACUGCAAACGUAGUCUAUAGUUUUCCUCUGCAACUGCACGUCAUGAAGGCUAACUCCAUCUCCUAGAUCCAAUCCAUGACCCCGAUCGGAUCUUCCUUUCCCGUGAAAGUCGAUGGCUUGCAAGUCAGAAAAUCCUUGUACUUGCAUCCAUUCCUUUUGACUCCUUCAUCUUGGUUGUUUUGAACUAUUGGUGGGUUGACUUGACCAACAGUUCCACUGUAGUCUCCCUCCUCAGUCUGCCCUUCGUUCAACUUGGGCUGUUCGAUCUGAAUAGUCGCUUCCUCUCGAUUUUGCUGGAGCAAACGUCUGGUUUCCUCCAUUUGACGAUCCAACAUUACUUGGAUCAUCGCUUGCACUUCGGCCAUCGUUAUUGGCUCAGCAGUGGCUCCCACAACCGGUAUUUGCUCAAUCACUGGGGGUUGGUUUCUGUUCCCAUUUGCAUUCACGUUUCCGCUACGCGUCCUUGCCAUCUAGAUCUAUACACCGAAUAAGGUGAAUCUAGAUCUUUAUUUAGGAUUGACGUUUAAAUCAUCCUUAUCACUCCGAAACGUUUACAUGCUAGUUCUAAUAUCGUAGUCGUACGUUUAGAAUCCUAAACACAUAAGGUUUCCAGAUCCGCUCGGCAACAGACCAUAGAUCCGAACAAAUAAUAGCAUGUCAGGCACAAAGCAUUUAGCACAUAAAAGCAUUUUAGGCAUAAUUCCUAAAAUAAGCUAGUGCUCACACGUCACAAUCAUCGCUUAGCAUUCUAAGUUUAAGUCUAGAAAUCCUACAAAUUCCUAGUUCGCUUAAACUAAUGCUCUGAUACUAACUGUGACAUCCCCAUUUUCACGGCCAGAAAAGACCGAUUUUGUUUAUGCUUUGUUUAAAAAUCAGAGUAACAUUUUAAAUAAAAGUGUUGCGGAAUUUGUCCCAAAACAAAAUAUGAUAAAGAUUUAUCAAAAGCAUUUCCGUAGAAAUGUAUUUCAUUAAAAAGACUCGGGAUGUCAUGUUCGAUACAGAUCAUAAGCAUAAACAAUACAACAUAGGCCUUACUACAUUAUUCCGUAUUUACAGGCCUAAAAUCCAUUAAUCUCUCAUCCCAAGACAUCACAUCUAUGCUCAUGCGCCACUACCUGUAAUACAAGAAACUGAGUGGGUCAGGCUUGGGAGCCUGGUGAGCACAUAGGGUUUUCAACCCACAAUAAAUAAGUU